UAUAAAAUAAAUAUCAAAUAUAAAAUAAUAAUUGUUAGUUUGAGAAGUGUUAAAUGUGAAAAAUAUAUAAACAAGGUUCUAUAAUAGUUUUAAGUUUUUGAAGAUAAUUAAACGGUUAUUGCAUAUAAUUUAAUUAAUGUAGGCUCUUAGCAUUAUUGAUUUCGAUCUUAUUUAAUUAAAGUAUAAAAGUAGAUCUCAAGGAUGUAAGAGAAAGUGCUAAAUAUAAAAUAUUUAAACAUUGUUCUCUACAAAUUUAAGCUUUUAUUAGAGUAUAAUGGUUGCUUAAUAACGCAAAGCUUAAAGAGACAUAUAUUAUACAUUUUGUGAGCAUUGUACCCCCAUUCUAGAGAAAACUGUUAUGCAAAAGAUAUAUAUAAUGAGAGCUAUAUCGAUGCUCUUCAUUCAACUGAUGUUUUCAAUGUCGCCCAUCAAAUUAUUCAGUAUGUAUUUGACUUAAAAAUUAUCAUUUUGAAGGAAAAAAAAAAAUACCGGCUUAAAUGUUGUUGACAUCAGAAAACAUGCGAGAUAAUACGAUAAGAAGCAUAUCCGACCCCUCACGGAGCUAGUUAAAAUUACAGAGCUUUCUAUUGAAUUUUCGCUCGUUGCUCUUCAUCUAAUAUAUCCUUCUUCUUUUUUUUCAGAAAACGAUAUCCACGUAGUACGUUUUACACUACCCUGAAAGCACAAGUGAUCGGUAUUAGCGAAUAGAAUU
rnacentral:lncRNA from 1 species